UUGCCCCUACGGGACGCAGCAGUGAGGAAUAUUGGUCAAUGGGCGCAAGCCUGAACCAGCCAAGUCGCGUGAGGGAUGACGGUCCUAUGGAUUGUAAACCUCUUUUGUCGGGGAGCAAGGCCCGCCACGUGUGGCGGGAAGGAGAGUACCCGAAGAAAAAGCAUCGGCUAACUCCGUGCCAGGAGCCGCGGUAAUACGGAGGAUGCGAAGGGUAUCCGGAGUUCUUGGGUUUAAA
rnacentral:rRNA from 1 species